CUUAGUGACAACAGGCUGCUUCAUUAUCUCUCCUUUUUAUGUUCUAAGGGCAAAAAUAUUCAGGGUCUGCAGGGUAAAAACUAUGGAAGCAUAAACAAGGAAAACCUGACUCUCCCUCACAACUGCAUGUCCUACUAAAAGGUAAAAGGACACUUUGGGGUUGUCUCAGGUGAAAACUGCUGGAAGGAAAAAGCCUGAGAAAGCCGCUGACAGCACCAGUGCUUUGCGUCUCGGGACAAAUUCCUUUCCCUCUAUCAAUACGUUUUAUUUUUUCACGGAGGGGAGGGGACUCAUUUUGCCAAGAAUUUAUUGUGCAUCGUUUCUGAUUCAGCAGGUCUACAGUCGAAACCAGGAAUUAGCAGCUUUAACAAGUGCCACAAGUGAUCGGAUACCGGUGGUCCCAGGACCACACCUCGAGAAAGCCCCGCAGAGAGAUGAGUGCAUGGAAAGAGCCAACUGAGAGGUGAAGCUUAAACAAAUGUGAGGCAGAAAAAUCUAUUAAUGAGGCACUAAUGAGAAGAUGGAAUCAAACUCCCUGCAAAUACACACACACACACACGUGGGAAACUUCUGGCUUUUUUUUUUUUUUAAAGAAAACCCUGAGGAGCAAGCUAACAAAAUAUCAAUAAAGUUGGAGAAACUGGGGCCGGGCGAGGUGGCUCAUGCCUGUAAUCCCAGCACUUUGGGAGGCCAAGGCGGGUGGAUCAUUUGAGGUCAGGGGUUUGAGACCAGCCUGGCCAACAUGGUGAAAUCCCGUCUCUACUAAAAAUACAAAAGUUAGCCAGGCGUGGUGACAUGCACCUGCAAUCCCAGCUACUCAGGAAGCUAAGGCAAGAGAAUUGCUUGAACCCGGGAGGUAGAGCUUGCAGUAAGCCAAGAUCCUGCCACUGCACUCCAGCCUGGGUUGACAGAGUGAGACUCUAUCUCAAAAAAAAAAAAAAAAAAAAAAAAAAAAGCUGGAGAAAUUGGAGCACAAAAAAAGUCUAAGCGAUACAAAGAUAUUAUUUUUAAAAGGAUUAAUACUGUCCUAUUAAACAUUUAUUAAACAUAGACAUUUUGUGAAGUGCUGCCAAAAGCAGGAAUGGAACUAGAACUCAGGACUCCAAAUUCCCAGCUCUAUCAAUAAAUCAGGCAAUUUCCCUCCACAAUCCAAAAUAGCUGCAAAUGCUCUGGUUAUUUUUUAACAUAUGGCUUAAAUAUUUAUAUUUUAAGUGCUUUCAGUUUAUAGUCCACAUCAUAAACAUUCAUUAACAUUUAGGCAACUUCCUAAGUAACUCUAACUGCAAGGUCAGACCAAAUACACAUUUAAGCAAAAUAAACAUUCCCCAUCAUAGGCUAUAAAUUGUUCCAAUAUUUACUUGAUAACCUGACACCCAUAUUCAUUUGCCUCUCUUCCUCCCAAAAUACUGUUCUUCGGGAGUUUUUUUUUCUCAUGCAACAAAAGAUAGUGUUACUGAGGCCGGAGAGAAAGGAGCAAGGUUUCAAAGAUACCAAACUUAGAAUUUGGAAUAAGCUUAACCUUAGGGGGAUCUAUCUCCUUGAUUGGUGUGUUUCAUGGCAUUAAAUUUAAUUAAUUAAUCAAUCCAACAAAUACUUGUGUAUUUGCCAGGCCGAGUGCUCUUCUGAAUGAACAGAGUCAAAGUUGUUGCCUACAAUGUUUACAUUCUAGGAGACCGGCCAACAGUAAAUCAGUCAGCAAACAAAUAUUUAGUAUAACAUCAGAUACGUUUAAGCGCUCCGAAGAAAAAUAAGGCAGGGUAAAAGGGACAGAGAAUGACAAAGUAUUAGAGGGACAAUAUUGCUAUUUUAAAUAGGGUGGACAAAGAAAUCUACUCCGAAGACUUAGUCAAAUUAUAGACUAAAUCAAAAAAUGAGAAUAAUAUUAACUUCCCUCUCAAAGUGGCCACCACGCAUGGGUCAGUAGAAAAAACUGCAGGCUGCUUAAACACAUCGGAAUUAAUGAACAUCCACGAAUUUUAGAGCAAGAACAAAAGAAACUUGUGAGGCUAACCUGCUCCAGAAGCCGCCAAGCACGCAGAGGGAAAGAAAGAGGAAUGUACCCUUCACCUGGCCCCACUCACAAGAGCUGGCCAAGAUCACUCCCAAGCCUGACUUCCAGGUAAAGGGCUACAUGAAAUCAGCCACAAAAGGCGCAAUGUGGAAAUCAAGGAAAAAGCACCAUUUAAUAAAUUCCUUAGAGUUAUUUUUCAGGGCAAUGACUGAAUGUAGUAAUUGACAUAUCAUUGGAUGCAAGUAAGAUAAACAUAAGUAAUAAGGUUUUACAAAGGUUAUGCAUUGUAAUUGU